UACGUAGGGUGCAAGCGUUAAUCGGAAUUACUGGGCGUAAAGCGUGCGCAGGCGGUUAUGUAAGACAGGUGUGAAAUCCCCGGGCUUAACCUGGGAACUGCAUUUGUGACUGCAUCGCUGGAUGCGGCAGAGGGGGGAUGGAAUUCCGCGUGUAGCAGUGAAAUGCGUAGAUAUGCGGAGGAACACCGAUGGCGAAGGCAAUCCCCCUGGGCCUGC
rnacentral:rRNA from 1 species